GACGAACGCUGGCGGCGUGCUUAACACAUGCAAGUCGAGCGGAAAGGCCCUUCGGGGUACUCGAGCGGCGAACGGGUGAGUAACACGUGAGUAACCUGCCCCAGACUUUGGGAUAACCCUCGGAAACGGGGGCUAAUACCGGAUACGACACAGCUUCGCAUGGGGUCUGUGUGGAAAGUUUUUCGGUUUGGGAUGGGCUCGCGGCCUAUCAGCUUGUUGGUGGGGUGAUGGCCUACCAAGGCGACGACGGGUAGCCGGCCUGAGAGGGCGACCGGCCACCCUGGGACUGAGACACGGCCCAGACUCCUACGGGAGGCAGCAGUGGGGAAUAUUGCACAAUGGGCGGAAGCCUGAUGCAGCGACGCCGCGUGAGGGAUGACGGCCUUCGGGUUGUAAACCUCUUUCAGCAGGGACGAAGCGUAAGUGACGGUACCUGCAGAAGAAGCGCCGGCCAACUACGUG
rnacentral:rRNA from 1 species